AGCAGAAAAGGGAAAAGAAAGGCACAAGGAAGAGAUCUAAAGAGCUAUUUUAGUCCAUUCGGAUCCAGUAGCACAAACCCAAGCACUCAUCUGUUGCAGAAGAAGGAUCAAAAUAUUGUUGAGGCCAUGUCUUUGGUUAUUGACGUGAAAACACGUUUGAACAAUUUGAGAAGCGAAGGUUAUGAGCCACUACUUGAAGAAGUCAAAACAUUUUGCCAAGAAAAUGAUAUCCCAAUACCAAAUAUGGAAGAUAGUGUACCAAGAUUUGGUAGAUCAAGGAAAGGAGGGAGAAACAACAUCACUCAAGAUCAUUACUUUCGUGUUGAUACCUUCUUUGCUACCAUAGAUGCUAUCACAACAGAGUUUGAUCAUCGAUUCAGUGAGGUA